AGUUUCAUUAUCUUCCUGCUGAUGGCAGAAGUGCAAAAGAGUGAGGAGAAGCCCCCAGUGCUCUUAAAGCUCAGCCUAGGACUGUCACCUCUGCUUAGCUUACUAUCAGUGGGGUGAGGAAAUAUACAUCACCUUUUGUGGAAGGAACGUCAAAGUCAUACAGCUAAAGAUGUGGAGACAGGGAAAGCUUGUCAGGCUCUAGAGAGACUGACCUCUGCAGAUGGUUUAAAGGGAGAAGCUCAAGGGUACACAGUUCACAGGGCUGCCAAUCAGGCCUGUGCAGAAAACUCAACAGUCUAAAAGAAUAUAUGAAGACAGAACCUCAACCUAGAAGAAAUGGACAAAUUCCCAGACACAUCAAGGAAUUCCUAGACAAACUAUCAAAACUGAAUCAUGAUUAGAUAGAAAAUCUGAACAGAUCAAUAUAAGUAAAGAGAUUAAAGCAGUAAUAAACUCUCCCAUCAAAGAAAAGCUCAGGAU
rnacentral:lncRNA from 1 species